GAUGAGAAAAAUGAAUUAUACGGUUGGAUUAAAAAAUAAUAAUAAUAAAAAAGAAAAAGAAAAUAAAUCAAAAAAGAGAGACAAGAAAUGGAAGUUAAUUGCCUGCGGCUUUCAUUUUUCAUGUAAAAAGAGGAUAUCUUGAAAGUCAUAUAUAGUUCAGAGUAUAUGGGUCAUGCGAAAAUAAAUAAAUGAAUAAAAGAAAAAAAAUUUUUCAAAAACCGAAAAAUGGAAAUUAGUUUUCUGAAGUUUUCAUAUUUUAUUGUUAAAUUUAAAAAAAAAAACAUUUUGAAAAUUUUAUAUAUGGUUAAAUCUAUGUUUGAAAAAUCGUGUAUAUAUUUGUAUAUACAUACGAUAAUUGCUCAAAGUCAUUAUUUGAUAUCCAAAUACGAAUCUGUGGACUUUCUUUGAUUAAGAUACGUUAAUACGAUAUUUAUCUUAUAGAUAAGUAACGAGGAAUAUUGUUACAAUUAUCUGUAAUCUCCUACGGACCUACACCGACCUAAUUAUCUUCAAAAAGUCUCAACAACAAUUGUUGGUUUAAUUUGUCUUCAAAACAGAUCAUUAAUAAGAACCAACAUUUUUUUUCGAAAAUAAAUUUUUCUUUAUAAAGUUAAAGAAAUACAUCCAAUAAUAAAGAAUUAAGGAAUUAAAUAGCUAAUAAAAAAGCUCAAGCCAAUUGAAAAUAACUCGAGAAAUUCGAUAAAAAUAAAAGAUAAUAAAUAAUACUUAAAGAAUACUUAAGAUUUUCAUUAAGAAAAUCAUUUAUACUGAUAUUUUAAUUAAUUAUAAAAAGAAUUCGAACGUUCAUCUACAUAUUUUUCUUGAUUUUACGAAAGAAUGCCACACCAAUACCAAAAGUAUUUGCAAUUUCUAAAAUACUGCAGCGAAAAGAUUAAAGGAUCGUAAGAAAUUCAAAGGAAUCGUUAAAACGAAGAAAUAUAAGGAAUCUAAAGAAACCCAAUGAAUUGAAAAUGUUCGAGAAAUUCAAAGAAAGUAAAAUAAUUUAAAUAUAAUCCAAAAAAUCCAAGAAAGCGUAGAUUUAAAAUUCAAAGGAGCAGUUUAUAUAUAUAUAAAA